CGGGGUGCACCAGGCGCGAAAACUUUACAAUGCGGGAAACCGUGAUAAGGGGACACCGAGUGCCAGCAUCAUAUGCUGGCUGUCCGGGUGUGUAAAAUACACCCGUUAGCAAGGGCCGGGCAAGACCGGUGCCAGCCGCCGCGGUAACACCGGCGGCCCGAGUGGUGAUCGUGAUUAUUGGGUCUAAAGGGUCCGUAGCCGGUUUGGUCAGUCCUCCGGGAAAUCUGACGGCUCAACCGUUAGGCUUUCGGGGGAUACUGCCAGGCUUGGAACCGGGAGAGGUAAGAGGUACUACAGGGGUAGGAGUGAAAUCUUGUAAUCCCUGUGGGACCACCUGUGGCGAAGGCGUCUUACCAGAACGGGUUCGACGGUGAGGGACGAAAGCUGGGGGCACGAACCGGAUUAGAUACCCGGGUAGUCCCAGCCGUAAACGAUGCUCGCUAGGUGUCAGGCAUGGCGCGACCGUGUCUGGUGCCGCAGGGAAGCCGUGAAGCGAGCCACCUGGGAAGUACGGCCGCAAGGCUGAAACUUAAAGGAAUUGGCGGGGGAGCACAAGGGCGAAUCGCG
rnacentral:rRNA from 1 species